CAGUUUUUACUGACAGUAGACAUCCUGCUUAUGGUGCCAUAAUCUGCAUAAAAAUUCAAACCCCCAUUCUUCGUAAAAUAUGGCAAUUAUGGUGAGCAAUGAUUACAUUAACCUCAAUUUUGCUCAUUUCCCGCGAAGUUCCAUCGCAUGUUUCAUGUAAUAUUUCAAAAGUUCAUUUUCCAUUAGACUCCACUGUCCUUCAUAACCGGUGCAGGGCGGUCUAUGGAGCUGAGUCGGUUUUCACCAGUUGUGCGCUGUGUCACGUAGAAAUUUUCCGCGAUCGACCGAGGUCUAUUAAAAUGUGAGGCAAGAGAUGAUGCAGGGCAUUUGCUUCGAGAUUCGCAGGCAGAGCCAGUCGCCAGAGAACGCCUUAGGGGUAAACCGCCAGCCGUGACCGACCAUUGGGAAGGACGCUGCUGUUGUCACAAUGAACCACCAUCGCUGUCUCCUCUUUGCUUCCGUUGUUUUUUCGAUAGCGAUGGUUGGCCUCAACUCCGAUUCAAUCAGGGAGGUAGCAAGCGAUAAGCAAGCAGAAGACGGGGAUAUGGGUGACGUCAUCGGGGAACCUAACGCCAUCGGGACCACGACGUUUGACCAAAAGAACAGGAGCAGCGCAGAUCUGACAGACUCCCUCCAGUUUUUAUUUGAUUCUGACGUCAGCGCGGAUCGUGACGCCAUUGAGCCACCAGUCGUAGACAGCCGAAGGAGAGAAGAAAAGAACGCGAAGGAUCCUCCACCAGGUCGAAUCAGACGUUUACGUCAUCACGGGACAUGACGUCGAUUUUACACAAAACGGCAAUGCGGCUUUUGACAUCCCUAAGGUACAUAAUGUAACCACUGAACGUGAUGUCAUUCAGGUACCCAUCACCAACGGCGAUAGAAGAAAAGAAAGAGACGCAUGGCACUCUCUCUGGAAUUCAUCAGGCGUUGGUGUCACCGAGGAUUAUGAAGGAACUAAGGUACAUAACUUUACCAAGGUACGUGACAUUACCGAAGUGCAUGACGUGGGCACGGAACGUGACCUCAUCCCGACACCAUCUACCGAAGACGGAAAAAGAGAAGAGAAGGACCCGGGGCAUCCUCUCCGAGCCUCAUUCCACGAUGACGUCA
rnacentral:lncRNA from 1 species